rnacentral:rRNA from 1 species
CCUACGGGUGGCAGCAGUAGGGAAUCUUUCACAAUGGGCGAAAGCCUGAUGGAGCAACGCCGCGUGCAGGAUGAAGGCCUUCGGGUUGUACACUGCCUUUAUAAGCGAGAAAUAUGAUGGUAACUUAUGAAUAAGGAUCGGCUAACUACGUGCCAGCAGCCGCGGUCAUACGUCGGAGGCGAGCAUUAUCCGGAGUGACUGGGUGUAAAGAGUUGCGUAGGUGGCAUAAUAAGUAGCUAGUGGAAUCUGGUGGCUCAAACAUUCAGACUAUUAGCUAAACUGUUAAGCUCGAGACCGUUAGGAGUAACUGGAAUGUCUGGUGUAGGAGUGAAAUGCGUAGAUAUUAGAAGGAACACCAAUAGCGAAGGCAGGUUGCUGGGACGGUUCUGACACUAAGACACGAAAGCGUAGGGAGCAAACGGGAUUAGAUACCCGAGUAGUC